UACGUAGGGAGCAAGCGUUGUCCGGAAUCAUUGGGCGUAAAGCGCGCGUAGGCGGCCCCGUAAGUCCGCUGUGAAAGUCAAAGGCUCAACCUUUGAAAGCCGGUGGAUACUGUGGGGCUAGAGUCCGGAAGAGGCGAGUGGAAUUCCUGGUGUAGCGGUGGAAUGCGCAGAUAUUAGGAGGAACACCAAUAGCGAAGGCAGCUCGCUGGGACGGUACUGACGCUAAGGCGCGAAAGCGUGGGGAGCAAACAGG
rnacentral:rRNA from 1 species